AGUGAACGCUGGCGGUAGGCCUAACACAUGCAAGUCGAACGGCAGCACAGUAAGAGCUUGCUCUUACGGGUGGCGAGUGGCGGACGGGUGAGGAAUACAUCGGAAUCUACUUUUUCGUGGGGGAUAACGUAGGGAAACUUACGCUAAUACCGCAUACGACCUACGGGUGAAAGCAGGGGAUCUUCGGACCUUGCGCGAUUGAAUGAGCCGAUGUCGGAUUAGCUAGUUGGCGGGGUAAAGGCCCACCAAGGCGACGAUCCGUAGCUGGUCUGAGAGGAUGAUCAGCCACACUGGAACUGAGACACGGUCCAGACUCCUAAGGGAGGCAGCAGUGGGGAAUAUUGGACAAUGGGCGCAAGCCUGAUCCAGCCAUACCGAGUGGGUGAAGAAGGCAUUCGGGUUGUAAAGCCCUUUUGUUGGGAAAGAAAAGCAGCAGGUUAAUACCCCGCUGUUCUGACGGUACCCAAAGAAUAAGCACCGGCUAACUUCGUG
rnacentral:rRNA from 1 species